rnacentral:lncRNA from 1 species
GCGGCGGAAGCAGAAGCCUGUCGUGAUGGAGUUCGCCUUUUACAGGAUGGUGUUCGUGGAGGGGUUAUAUUGGAAACGGAUUCACAUCGCGCUCUGGAAGGACCGCAGCAACCACAGAUCGGAGAUUGCAACGAUUCUGCGUGAGAUUCAGGAACUUUCAACAUGGUUCAUGCUAAGCGAUCGGCUAAUGUUGCCGCCCAUAUUUGUGGUAAGCAUGCUAGUUCUAGUACUCCUGAUGUUUGGAUAGAGAACCCCCUACCUUCUUGUUGCGACCUCCACAAGAGGAUUGUAAUCUGGAUUUACGUGCGGGCUGUGUUAAAAAUUGAUAAUCUUGGGCUGCUUCUGAAAAAGAGGAGGAAAGGAAGCUGGGCCAGCCUAACAAAGAAGAGAAAACGGACCGGAAACACGGAGCUGGG